AUACGUAGGGUGCGAGCGUUGUCCGGAAUUACUGGGCGUAAAGAGCUCGUAGGUGGUUUGUCGCGUCGUCUGUGAAAUUCCGGGGCUUAACUCCGGGCGUGCAGGCGAUACGGGCAUAACUUGAGUACUGUAGGGGAGACUGGAAUUCCUGGUGUAGCGGUGAAAUGCGCAGAUAUCAGGAGGAACGCCGGUGGCGAAGGCGGGUCUCUGGGCAGUAACGGACGCUGAGGAGCGAAAGCAUGGGUAGCGAACAGGAUUAGAUACCCUGGUAGUCCAUGCCGUAAACGGUGGGCGCUAGGUGUAGGGGUCUUCCACGACUUCUGUGCCGUAGCUAACGCAUUAAGCGCCCCGCCUGGGGAGUACGGCCGCAAGGCUAAAACUCAAAUGAAUUGGCGGGG
rnacentral:rRNA from 1 species